rnacentral:rRNA from 1 species
GGCGGAAACUGGUUGGCUUGGGGCCGGAAGAUCCGAGGGGUACGUCCGGGGUAGGAGUGAAAUCCCGUAAUCCUGGACGGACCACCGGUGGCGAAAGCGCCUCGGAAAGACGGACCCGACGGUGAGGGACGAAAGCUAGGGUCUCGAACCGGAUUAGAUACCCGGGUAGUCCUAGCUGUAAACGAUGCUCGCUAGGUGUGGCGCAGGCUACGAGCCUGCGCUGUGCCGUAGGGAAGCCGUGAAGCGAGCCGCCUGGGAAGUACGUCUGCAAGGAUGAAACUUAAAGGAAUUGGCGGGGGAGCACUACAACCGGAGGAGCCUGCGGUUUAAUUGGACUCAACGCCGGACAUCUCACCAGCCCCGACAGUAGCUGUGAAAGUCAGUCUGAUGAGCUUACUGGAGCUACUGAGAGGAGGUGCAUGGCCGCCGCCAGCUCGUACCGUGAGGCGUCCUGUUAAGUCAGGCAACGAGCGAGACCCGCACCCUUAGUUGCCAGCAACAGCCUUGUGCUGGUUGGGUACACUAGGGGGACUGCCGCUGCUAAAGCGGAGGAAGGAACGGGCAACGGUAGGUCAGUAUGCCCCGAAUGGGCUGGGCAACACGCGGGCUACAAUGGCCGAGACAAUGGGAUGCCAUCCCGACAGGGAGCGCUAAUCCCCUAAACUCGGUCGUAGUUCGGAUUGAGGGCUGAAACUCGCCCUCAUGAAGCUGGAUUCGGUAGUAGUCGCGUGUCAGAAGCGCGCGGCGAAUACGUCCCUGCUCCUUGCACACAA